rnacentral:lncRNA from 1 species
ACAAGACAAAAUUUAAGACCUCAACCAUUUUAAAUAUCACACCAGCCAGACUGGGACUUCACCCAAGUUGAAGGGAAUCGGGCCACUGAAAAAGGGAAUUGCCCUCUCCUCCAAAGAUGGGAUCCUCCUCGCCGAUCUUCUUGGCAUACCCAGCCCUCUGAGGCUCUAAUUUUCUCUGGCAAUGAAUGAUGGGGAUGGGUCUCAGGCCCCCUCUCUGAGUCCUGGAUAACCGCGAAGAUAGAGGGGAAGCCAUUCUCAAUGCUCAUGGACACAGGGGCAGAAC